rnacentral:rRNA from 2 species
UUUGCUUCAUGAAUCACAUUUGAAUGAGUGGCGGACGGGUGAGUAACACGUGGGUAACCUGCCCAAAAGUGGGGGAUAACAUCUGGAAACAGGUGCUAAUACCGCAUAACAACUACUUUCACAUGAUCGUAGUUUAAAAGAUGGCUCUGCUAUCGCUUUUGGAUGGACCCGCGGCGUAUUAGCUAGUUGGUGAGGUAAAGGCUCACCAAGGCAAUGAUACGUAGCCGACCUGAGAGGGUAAUCGGCCACAUUGGGACUGAGACACGGCCCAAACUCCUACGGGAGGCAGCAGUAGGGAAUCUUCCACAAUGGGCGAAAGCCUGAUGGAGCAAUGCCGCGUGAGUGAAGAAGGUUUUCGGAUCGUAAAACUCUGUUGUUGAAGAAGAACAUGCGUGAGAGUAACUGUUCACGUACUGACGGUAUUCAACCAGAAAGCCACGGCUAACUACGUGCCAGCAGCCGCGGUAAUACGUAGGUGGCAAGCGUUGUCCGGAUUUAUUGGGCGUAAAGAGAAUGUAGGCGGUUUAUUAAGUUUGAAGUGAAAGCCCUCGGCUCAACCGAGGAAGUGCUUCGAAAACUGGUAAACUUGAGUGCAGAAGAGGAAAGUGGAACUCCAUGUGUAGCGGUGGAAUGCGUAGAUAUAUGGAAGAACACCAGUGGCGAAGGCGGCUUUCUGGUCUGUAACUGACGCUGAGAUUCGAAAGCAUGGGUAGCAAACAGGAUUAGAUACCCUGGUAGUCCAUGCCGUAAACGAUGAGUGCUAAGUGUUGGAGGGUUUCCGCCCUUCAGUGCUGCAGCUAACGCAUUAAGCACUCCGCCUGGGGAGUACGAUCGCAAGAUUGAAACUCAAAGGAAUUGACGGGGGCCCGCACAAGCGGUGGAGCAUGUGGUUUAAUUCGAAGCAACGCG